rnacentral:rRNA from 1 species
GGGUGUGUAAGCGCAGCGAUGCGUUGAGCUAACCGGUACUAAUGACCCGUGAGGCUUAACCUUACAACGCCAGAGGCGUUU